GGCGCAGUGUACCCGUGUUAGGGCGGAGGCUAGCUCGUCCCGGCCGUAGCGCCUAGUCAACUAAACAGGGUCAAGACGGUACAGGUGGCAGUAAUGGCAGUGGGGGGCCGAGUGGCAGGGAAGGGCGGGGUAGUGUCCAGGGUUGGUCAAGGACAUGGCGUUGCCAGGAUCAACGAGGACAUAAUCCUGGUGACGCUGGUGGUGGGAGCCAUCAUCCUGGUCCUGAUAUCCCUAGCGCUCUGCUACAUCCUGAGGGAAGAGUGCCAGAAGAGGAAGGGAGUCUGGGUGUCUCCCUGACGAAGAGCUUGUCCCUUUAUACCCUCGGGAUCUUCCAAGGAAUACUACAUUGACGUCUGACUGAAGCGAUGAGUGGCUUGUAAAUAGCACAAUGUAUAAUACUUGUAAAAACUACACAUUACAGUAGGGUCCCGAUGGUCUGAAUUUCUUAUAAUCUGAUAAUCCAUCUUAAAACAAAAUCAGCAUGUUUUAGGGGUACAAAACUGACAUAUCUAGUUUAUAAAUAGAGGAUUAAUAGUUAGGCUUACUGAAAAUGUAUAUAAUUAUAUAAUUUCAAGAUAGACCGUGUAAUGAACGAAAUAGCACAAUGUUGAAUGUUAGUUUGCUAGAAAUGACCACGUAGUUUAAUUAAUUGCUCGAAUAUACUGGCAAAUGUGUUAAUCGUGCUGUGACACUUGCACCAAUCCUUUUUUUGUGACCAACAACAAUACAACUUAAGCCUCAUUGAGUUUAGUUGAUAUAAAUAUUGUCCUGAAGGUAGAUUAGUGCGAAUCUGAAAUGGUGAUGAACAUUUUUGCAAGUUCAACAAGAUGGUCGUCUACCGAAUACAGAAAUUUGGAAGUCUAAUAUAAAAUCCUACAUAAUAUUUGGAAAUAAAGUAAAUACAAAAACUUCAAAUGAGGCGUCGAGAGGCCAAGGGAGAUAUGUGACUUUUAAAAAAAUGUUGUCAUGGUAACGGGUUUUGUUAAAAAAAGGGUGGAAUUUCAACAAAUAAUUCACUUAUAUCCCUUGGCCUCCAAACUAAACACCUAAGAGCUGGAAGCCAAGGGGUAUAAGUGAAUUUAUUUUUAUUUUUAUUUUAUUUUUUAUGACUAUGAAAAAAAUACAAUGACAUUUUUUAAAAAGUCACAUAUCUCCCUUGGCCUCUCGACGCCUCAAAUACACUUGAAACAUACACGUACAAUGAUGAAGAAGUUAUUUAUUAUUGUUUUAAAUUGCAAAUUAUUUUAGUGUUCAAAAUCAUUAAAAUGUCAUGAUAGUUUGAGUAAUCUUUCAUCAACUCGUCCACAAUUUGUCUUUUCACUGUGCCAUGUGCCAUUUUAUGUUAUGUACGUUGUAGUUCAUACCAUCGGGACUCCACUGUACUUGAAUCGAAGUUGUAUACCUACAUAAAAAAAAUUACUUACAACAUUUAAAAAUUAUAGUUAUGUGAAUUAUUAUGUAAAUGUUUAGAGAAUGUAUCCAAACGUACCAUCCUUUAAAACUACUAAGACUUUUAUCAUCAAUCCCGUCCGUUAAGAAAAUUGAUAUUUUUAUGUUCAAUGUCAACCUACUUAACUUAUUUCUUUAAAAUGUAAUGAUUACAAAUUUAUAGUCCAAGGGAAUGUAAAACAUAGAUUCAUGGUCAAUUAUUAACUAUCAUUGUUGAAGGUUUCUACGAAACUUAAAUUCACAUAUGUAUACGUUAAAACAUUGUUAACUUAAAUUAUUUAUUGUAUAGAUAUUAAGAGGAGAAUUGUAAUAUUAAUUUAUGUAAUGACGAUUGCUGGUAUAAAUUAUAAAGUGAAUUGUUAUAACUAAAUAGAUCGCCGAUGGAUGCCGCUUGUGCAAUUAAAGAACACUGUAUUGCAUUAUUAAUCAUAAUUUACAUUUUAAUCGGGUAUACAAUGUGAUGUAAAUUGUUCAGUAAACCAUUUGUGUAAAAUUCACAUUUUCAACAUAAAAAUAGGUAUGUAAAAUUAUAUUUAUACAUGUUUAUAAUUUGUGUUACUGUGUUUUGGUUACUCUAAUGAAUCUUUUAUUUGUUAUAUGUUUUGGACAAAAUAGUUAGUAAAUACAGAUGGUACUUGUUUAUCCUAAAAGCUAAAAGUAAUAACAGUUAACUCGGAAUUGAAAUUAUGGUAGAUUUAAUGUAUACCAGUCUAUAUUAAUUCAAAACCUCUAAUUUAAUAUCACAAAUUUGUCUUUAUAAACCUAGAGUAUCCGUUGUUUAUUCCAAGCCAUAUAUUAUGUCUUCCUCCAAAGUGUCAUAUUAAUCUUGAAACAUUUUUGACAACACCAUGUAAAUAUAUAUAAUGCAGGGCUUCUUUAAACACUUAUCAAUAUAAUUUAAUUUAUACUGAACAUGUUUACAAAACAUAUAUACCAAACAUGUAUAAAAUAUUUGUGUACAAAUAUAUAUUUAACAUAUAGUAAAUAAAUGCAAAAUGCAUAAAUAAAUAGUUGUACUUACAAUAUACAAUAUAAUAUAUACAAAAAGUCGCGCCCCUGCUUUGUUGCUUUACAAAUACAAUUUGGUCACAGGUAAUUUUGGAAUCAGAUUCAAAAGUUUCUAAUGACGACCGAUGGAACUGGUUAAAUUCUAUAUCCAUUGAAACACAACAUAAUAUGGUAAAAAUGUACAGUACAAAGGUAAAUUAUAUUGAGUAGUGUUGAACGGCAUCUUGUAUUAAACAGCACAAAAAACAAUAUUAUGCAUUUUAAAAACUCAUUGAUUAUACCUAUUUGCACUGCCAGCGCAGAGCCCAUUUUUAAUAUGAAUAACUCAAUACAACUUUACUUGCAUUUAAUCUGGCAUAUAGAAAAUAUGAAUUUAAUGUGUCUUUACAUAUUUUAUCGUUCUACUCUAAUCUGUGAUUAACUUAGGUGAUUGUUCCUCCUGUAGUUAUAGUGGAGAAAGUGUAUUUUAUGUACGUAAAUAUAUUAAAUGCACAAUA